rnacentral:rRNA from 1 species
UAGGGAAUCUUCGGCAAUGGACGGAANNNUGGACCGAGCAACGCCACGUGAGUGAAGAAGGUUUUCGGAUCGUAAAGCUCUGUUGUUAAGGAAGAACGAGUGUGAGAAUGGAAAGUUCAUACUGUGACGGUACUUAACCAGAAAGGGACGGCUAACUACGUGCCAGCAGCCGCGGUAAUACGCAGGUCCCGAGCGUUGUCCGGAUUUAUUGGGCGUAAAGCGAGCGCAGGCGGUUAGAUAAGUCUGAAGUUAAAGGCUGUGGCUUAACCAUAGUACGCUUUGGAAACUGUUUAACUUGAGUGCAAGAGGGGAGAGUGGAAUUCCAUGUGUAGCGGUGAAAUGCGUAGAUAUAUGGAGGAACACCGGUGGCGAAAGCGGCUCUCUGGCUUGUAACUGACGCUGAGGCUCGAAAGCGUGGGGAGCAAACAGGAUUAGAUACCCUGGUAGUCCACGCCGUAAACGAUGAGUGCUAGGUGUUAGACCCUUUCCGGGGUUUAGUGCCGCAGCUAACGCAUUAAGCACUCCGCCUGGGGAGUACGACCGCAAGUUG